rnacentral:tRNA from 1 species
GCACCUGUGGCUCAAAGGAAUAAGGCACCGGCCCCAUAUGCCGGAGGUGCUGGGUUCAAACCCAGCCCCGGGCA